GGCAAGUCUGGUGCCAGCAGCCGCGGUAAUUCCAGCUCCAAUAGUGUAUAUUAAAGUUGCUGCAGUUAAAAGCUCGUAGUUGGAUUUCUGGCUUGGUUCGCCUGGCCCGCCACGGUUACGUGUGUGAGUGCCGGUGUGGAUCUGCCAUCACUUCUAGGUAACGUUCAUACUCUUCAUUGAGCCGUGAAUGCAUAUCUAGAUCUUUUACUUUGAAAAAUUAGAGUGUUUAAAGCAGGCGAUCGCUUGAAUACAUCAGCAUGGAAUAACAAGACAAGACAUUGGGUCUUCUUGUUGGUUUGGGGAGCAGUGUAAUGAUUAAUAGGGCCAGUUGGGGGCAUUAGUAUUCAGUAGUCAGAGGUGAAAUUCUUGGAUUUACUGAAGACUAACUAGUGCGAAAGCAUUUGCCAAGGAUGUUUUCAUUAAUCAAGAACGAAAGUUGGGGGAUCGAAGACGAUCAGAUACCGU
rnacentral:rRNA from 1 species